AUUGAACGCUGGCGGCAUGCCUUACACAUGCAAGUCGAACGGUAACGGGCCUUCGGGUGCCGACGAGUGGCGAACGGGUGAGUAAUGCAUCGGAACGUACCUUUCAGUGGGGGAUAACGUAGCGAAAGUUACGCUAAUACCGCAUAUUCUGUGAGCAGGAAAGCAGGGGAUCGCAAGACCUUAUGCUUUUGGAGCGGCCGAUGUCUGAUUAGCUAGUUGGUAGGGUAAUGGCUUACCAAGGCGACGAUCAGUAGUUGGUCUGAGAGGACGACCAGCCACACUGGGACUGAGACACGGCCCAGACUCCUACGGGAGGCAGCAGUGGGGAAUUUUGGACAAUGGGCGCAAGCCUGAUCCAGCAAUGCCGCGUGAGUGAAGAAGGCCUCGGGUUGUAAGACUCUUUCAGUUGAGAAGAAAAAGUACGUGACUAAUAAUACAUGAUUACAUGACGGUAUCAACAGAAGAAGACACCGGCUAACUACGUAGCCAGCAGCC
rnacentral:rRNA from 1 species